rnacentral:rRNA from 1 species
CCUACGGGGGGCUGCAGUGGGGAAUAUUGGACAAUGGGCGAAAGCCUGAUCCAGCAAUGCCGCGUGAGUGAUGAAGGCCUUAGGGUUGUAAAGCUCUUUUACCAGGGAUGAUAAUGACAGUACCUGGAGAAUAAGCUCCGGCUAACUCCGUGCCAGCAGCCGCGGUAAUACGGAGGGAGCUAGCGUUGUUCGGAAUUACUGGGCGUAAAGCGCACGUAGGCGGUUUGUCAAGUCAGUGGUGAAAGCCCGGAGCUCAACUCCGGAAUUGGCCUUGAAACUGGAUGACUAGAAUCUUGGAGAGGUCAGUGGAAUUCCGAGAGUAGAGGUGAAAUUCGUAGAUAUUCGGAAGAACGGCAGUGGCGAAGGCGACUGACUGGACAAGUAUUGACGCUGAGGUGCGAAAGCGUGGGGAGCAAACAGGAUUAGAGACCCUGGUAGUC